UCCAGACUCCUACGGGAGGCAGCAGUGGGGAAUAUUGCACAAUGGGGGAAACCCUGAUGCAGCGACGCCGCGUGAGUGAAGAAGUAUCUCGGUAUGUAAAGCUCUAUCAGCAGGGAAGAGAAUGACGGUACCUGACUAAGAAGCCCCGGCUAACUACGUGCCAGCAGCCGCGGUAAUACGUAGGGGGCGAGCGUUAUCCGGAUUCACUGGGUGUAAAGGGAGCGUAGACGGCCAUGCAAGCCAGGGGUGAAAGCCCGGGGCCCAACCCCGGGACUGCCCUUGGAACUGCAUGGCUGGAGUGCGGGAGGGGCAGGCGGAAUUCCUGGUGUAGCGGUGAAAUGCGUAGAUAUCAGGAGGAACACCGGCGGCGAAGGCGGCCUGCUGGACCGUGACUGACGUUGAGGCUCGAGAGCGUGGGGAGCAAACAGGAUUAGAUACCCCCGUA
rnacentral:rRNA from 1 species